CUGAACCAAAGCAACAGCCACAAGAAGAAAACAGAGGCAAUUAGCAAGAGAUAUAGGGGAGAGCCCAGAAGCGAAAAGGCGCCGCAUAAGGUGAUGACGAUGGCGUAAUUGAUGCCGAAGUACUUGGAGUUGAGACGGAGGCGUGACGUGGCGCCGGCGAGGGAGUCGGGACGGGAGCAUUCGGAGGCGGAGGCGAGGAAUUCCGGCCAGGGACGUUGGCGGGAGUAAGUGGUGGAGAGGUUCUGGAAGGAUCGGGAAAUGGCGGCGGAGAAGGAGACGGGGAUGGUGGUGUACGUGGAGUCGGAUGAUGCUCGCUGGGGAGGCAGCAUUUUGCGUUGACUUUAUUUGACCACAACUGCAAGCAACUAAACUAGAGUAUCUACGAUGAAGUUAUAACCGAGUUAAGUAUAAUCGUUCGCUAAUUAGUAUCGGUAAUAUAUUAGAUAAAAUUUAUUGAACUGUAAAAGCAUCUCCGGCCAUCGAAAACAAUUAACUAAAAGGUGAGUUGACAUACUAAAAAUAAAAAAAUUUAAUCUAACAGCUCGAAAAACUCAACUUCAAUCAUACUCAGCUGUUGUCUAUAAUUUUAGUCAAUCUCCUAUGGAUGACAAAAUUUGUCGAAUCUCUACAAGUCAGUAAAAAAUCUGUAGGAAGAUUGCACAUCAUUUUUACCAUAUUGAACUAAUAUAUUCUAUUUUAACAAUAACGUUCUUCGUACGGAUUCCUCCAACAGUACUUGCUAUUUACCUUGCUUUCUUAUCAGAGUUGAGUUGAUACCUCUUUAAUUACAAAUAGGCUAAACAUGUGCCUUUCAUGUAUUAGCUACGCUUUAACUUCGGUCAUCUUUAUAAUUAAACUCGCUUUCAAACUUAGACCCUAUAUAUUCCGAUAAGAUGUUUAUAUACUAAUUGAUUUAAGAUCUCACUAUCGAAAUCAAUAAUUAAGAUAAUAAUUUUACUAUCUUAAUUUGUCGAGAUUUGUUAUUUGACAAUACAAAAAAUAAGUUAAAUUGUAGAAGGGGGCUGAAUAAAAUCUACAAAAAAUUUCAACUAAUUUUUGCUUAACAGAUUAUGUUCAAACACAAAAGAUAUUUAAAUCUAAACAGAAAUUAUAAGAACAAGGAUCUUAAAAUUUUAAGGUGGAUUGUUUGAUCCACCUGAGAGAUUUUUAAAUUAAGAACCUUCCAAGUAAAAUACUUGGAUGCUUACAAGAAGAAAAUGAAUAACAGAAGCUUACAAUAUUUUGCUUGCUAUCUCUACUGCUUUGCUCUUCAGUUCUAAGUGUAUGGAUACAUUGAAAUGAAAAUUACAAUGUGAAUAUAUACGAAUACAAAUUAGGGUAGUCUGCAAAAGUGUUUUCCAACACCUUUCUAACCAUUACAAAUGUAGAAUUUCUUGGACUUGAUAGUACAAAUGGCAGCUUGAAUUUCUUGUUGCUUUACUAUAAAUGGUAGGCUUCGAGGUUCUCAAUAUUUGACUAAACUGCUUUUGAUUUAGUUUCCAAAACUGGUGCAGCACCUUUCACAUCAACCCAUGUGUUUUUUGUUAUAUGGGGGAGAACCCAGAAGCGAAAAGGCGCCGCAUAAGGUGAUGACGAUGGCGUAAUUGAUGCCGAAGUACUUGGAGUUGAGACGGAGGCGUGACGUGGCGCCGGCGAGGGAGUCGGGACGGGAGCAUUCGGAGGCGGAGGCGAGGAAUUCCGGCCAGGGACGUUGGCGGGAGUAAGUGGUGGAGAGGUUCUGGAAGGAUCGGGAAAUGGCGGCGGAGAAGGAGACGGGGAUGGUGGUGUACGUGGAGUCGGAUGAUGCUCGCUGGGGAGGCAGCAUUUUGCGUUGACUUUAUUUGACCACAACUGCAAGCAACUAAACUAGAG
rnacentral:lncRNA from 1 species